rnacentral:rRNA from 1 species
AGAGUUUGAUCCUGGCUCAUAAUGAACGCUGGCGGCGUGCUUAACACAUGCAAGUCGAACGGUAACAGGAGGAAGCUUGCUUUCUUGCUGACCAGUGGCGCACGGGUGAGUAAUGCAUAGGUAACGUGCCCCUUAGUCUGGGAUAGCCACUGGAAACGGUGAAUAAUACUGGAUACUCCUUCUACCUUGAUGGUAGUUGGGAAAGUUUUUCGCUAAGGGAUCGGCCUAUGUUGUAUCAGGUAGUUGGUGAGGUAAUGGCUCACCAAGCCUAUGACACAUAGCGGGUCUGAGAGGAUGAUCCGCCACACUGGUACUGAGACACGGACCARACUCCUACGGGAGGCAGCAGUGGGGAAUAUUGCACAAUGGACGAAAGUCUGAUGCAGCAACGCCGCGUGGAGGAUGACACAUUUCGGUGCGUAAACUCCUUUUAUAUGAGAAGAUAAUGACGGUAUCAUAUGAAUAAGCACCGGCUAACUCCGUGCCAGCAGCCGCGGUAAUACGGAGGGUGCAAGCGUUAUUCGGAAUCACUGGGCGUAAAGGGUGCGUAGGCGGUUUGGAAAGUCAGAUGUGAAAGCCUACAGCUUAACUGUAGAACUGCAUUUGAAACUUCCAGACUAGAAUACUGAAGGGGCAGAUGGAAUUAGUGGUGUAGGGGUAAAAUCCGUAGAUAUCACUAGGAAUACCGAAAGCGAAAGCGAUCUGCUGGGAAGUUAUUGACGCUGAGGCACGAAAGCGUGGGGAGCAAACGGGAUUAGAUACCCCGGUAGUCCACGCCCUAAACGAUGAAUGCUAGUCGUCGGAAAGCUCGUCUUUUCGGUGAUGCAGUUAACACAUUAAGCAUUCCGCCUGGGGAGUACGGUCGCAAGAUUAAAACUCAAAGGAAUUGACGG